rnacentral:rRNA from 1 species
UACGAAGGGGGCUAGCGUUGUUCGGAAUUACUGGGCGUAAAGCGCGCGCAGGCGGCCAUUCAAGUCAGGGGUGAAAGCCCAGAGCUCAACUCUGGAACUGCCCUUGAAACUGUAUGGCUUGAGUAUGAGAGAGGUGAGUGGAAUUCCCAGUGUAGAGGUGAAAUUCGUAGAUAUUGGGAAGAACACCGGUGGCGAAGGCGGCUCACUGGCUUAUUACUGACGCUCAGGCGCGACAGCGUGGGGAUCAAACAGG